UUCCCUCCAGAGUGGAUCCUGAGUACGGCGGAACACGUGAAAUUCCGUCGGAAUCCGGGAGGACCAUCUCCCAAGGCUAAAUACUCCCUAGUGACCGAUAGUGAACCAGUACCGUGAGGGAAAGGUGAAAAGCACCCCGGAAGGGGAGUGAAACAGUUCCUGAAACCGUGUGCCUACAAGUAGUUAGAGCCCGUUAAUGGGUGAUAGCGUGCCUUUUGUAGAAUGAACCGGCGAGUUACGAUUUGUUGCAAGGUUAAGCGGAAAAAGCGGAGCCGUAGCGAAAGCGAGUCUGAAUAGGGCGCAUAAGUAACAGGUCGUAGACCCGAAACCAGGUGAUCUACCCAUGUCCAGGAUGAAGGUAAGGUAAUACUUACUGGAGGUCCGAACCCACGCACGUUGAAAAGUGCGGGGAUGAGGUGUGGGUAGCGGAGAAAUUCCAAUCGAACUUGGAGAUAGCUGGUUCUCUCCGAAAUAGCUUUAGGGCUAGCCUCGAGGUAAAGAGUCAUGGAGGUAGAGCACUGUUUGGACUAGGGGCCCUUCUCGGGUUACCGAAUUCAGAUAAACUCCGAAUGCCAUGUACUUAUACUCGGGAGUCAGACUGCGAGUGAUAAGAUCCGUAGUCGAAAGGGAAACAGCCCAGACCACCAGUUAAGGUCCCCAAAUAUAUGUUAAGUGGAAAAGGAUGUGGGGUUGCUUAGACAACCAGGAUGUUGGCUUAGAAGCAGCCACCAUUGAAAGAGUGCGUAAUAGCUCACUGGUCGAGUGACCCCGCGCCGAAAAUGUACCGGGGCUAAACAUAUUACCGAAACUGUGGAUGAACCUCUUUAGAGGUUCGUGGUAGGAGAGCGUUCUAAGGGCGGUGAAGUCAGACCGGAAGGACUGGUGGAGCGCUUAGAAGUGAGAAUGCCGGUAUGAGUAGCGAAAGAAGGGUGAGAAUCCCUUCCACCGAAUAUCUAAGGUUUCCUGAGGAAGGCUCGUCCGCUCAGGGUUAGUCGGGACCUAAGCCGAGGCCGAUAGGCGUAGGCGAUGGACAACAGGUAGAGAUUCCUGUACCAGUGCUAAUUGUUUAACCGAUGGGGUGACACAGAAGGAUAGGGAAUCGCACGAAUGGAAAUGUGCGUCCAAGCAGUGAGUGUGAGAAGUAGGCAAAUCCGCUUCUCGCGAAGCAUGAGCUGUGAUGGGGAAGGAAAUUAAGUACGGAAGUUCCUGAUUUCACGCUGUCAAGAAAAGCCUCUAGGAAGAGUAGUACUGCCCGUACCGCAAACCGACACAGGUAGAUGAGGAGAGAAUCCUAAGGUGAGCGAGAGAACUCUCGUUAAGGAACUCGGCAAAAUGACCCCGUAACUUCGGGAGAAGGGGUGCUCUAUUAGGGUGCAAGCCCGAGAGAGCCGCAGUGAAUAGGCCCAGGCGACUGUUUAGCAAAAACACAGGUCUCUGCAAAACCGUAAGGUGACGUAUAGGGGCUGACGCCUGCCCGGUGCUGGAAGGUUAAGAGGAGUGCUUAGCUUCGGCGAAGGUACGAAUUGAAGCCCCAGUAAACGGCGGCCGUAACUAUAACGGUCCUAAGGUAGCGAAAUUCCUUGUCGGGUAAGUUCCGACCCGCACGAAAGGCGCAACGAUCUGGGCACUGUCUCAACGAGAGACUCGGUGAAAUUAUAGUACCUGUGAAGAUGCAGGUUACCCGCGACAGGACGGAAAGACCCCGUGGAGCUUUACUGCAACCUGAUAUGGAAUGUUUGUACCGCUUGUACAGGAUAGGUAGGAGCCGAAGAGACGUGUGCGCUAGCAUACGAGGAGGCAAUGGUGGGAUACUACCCUGGCUGUAUGACCAUUCUAACCCGCCACGCUUAGCGCGUGGGGAGACAGUGUCAGGUGGGCAGUUUGACUGGGGCGGUCGCCUCCUAAAGAGUAACGGAGGCGCCCAAAGGUUCCCUCAGAAUGGAUGGAAAUCAUUCGCAGAGUGUAAAGGCACAAGGGAGCUUGACUGCGAGACUGACAAGUCGAGCAGGGACGAAAGUCGGGCUUAGUGAUCCGGUGGUUCCGCAUGGAAGGGCCAUCGCUCAACGGAUAAAAGCUACCCCGGGGAUAACAGGCUUAUCUCCCCCAAGAGUCCACAUCGACGGGGAGGUUUGGCACCUCGAUGUCGGCUCGUCGCAUCCUGGGGCUGUAGUCGGUCCCAAGGGUUGGGCUGUUCGCCCAUUAAAGCGGCACGCGAGCUGGGUUCAGAACGUCGUGAGACAGUUCGGUCCCUAUCCGUCGCGGGCGCAGGAAAUUUGAGAGGAGCUGUCCUUAGUACGAGAGGACCGGGAUGGACACACCGCUGGUGUACCAGUUGUUCCGCCAGGAGCAUCGCUGGGUAGCUAUGUGUGGCAGGGAUAAACGCUGAAAGCAUCUAAGCGUGAAGCCCCCCUCAAGAUGAGAUUUCCCAUUUCUUCGGAAAGUAAGAUCCCUGAAAGAUGAUCAGGUAGAUAGGUUUGGAGUGGAAGUGUAGCGAUACAUGGAGCGGACAAAUACUAAUCGAUCGAGGACUUAACCAA
rnacentral:rRNA from 1 species